ACACCUCAACUCCCAUGGUUCGCCAUGGUGAGCUUGGACUUUGGGGGUUUUGCUGGCCCAUGGUCAGCUCCUCUCAAAUGAAUUAGCCUGCCAGUGUUUGGUGGCAUCACAGGUGUGAUAAAUAUCUACGCUUGUGGUUUCCUGCCAGGUAACCUUCAGUAAUGGGGGUUCGCUGGGGCUCAUAAACGUCUCUCCUCAGUGAAGACAGCUUUGUGAAU
rnacentral:misc_RNA from 1 species